GGCAAGUGGUGUUCGAUUAAUAUUUGAAGAAUAAGAAGGUGGUCCCUGGUUGAAGAGAUAUGCUGUGAUUGAGAGGUCUGUGGGAAAUCCGAGUGGAGACAUCCAAAUGAAGACUUCAGGGCCCAGAAGUCCGGAAUUCAAGAAAAGGAUGCAGCGUCACAUCUCAGUAGGUCCUAACAUCAGUGUGUUAGGCAAAAACUACAAAAAGUAAAAUUAUCUUUGGAAAUCCUUUAGGAAGCCCCUCACCAAUAAAGAUAUACUGUCUCUUAAUAAAGCAGUCAUCUCACACUGAAA